rnacentral:rRNA from 1 species
GAUGAACCCUAGCGGCAGGCCUAAUACAUGCAAGUCGAGGGAGAAUGUUGGAUUCGUCUGACAUGAAACCGGCGCACGGGUGCGUAACACGUAUGCAACCUACCUUUAACUGGGGUAUAGCUCAGAGAAAUCUGAAUUAAUCCCCCAUAAGACUACGACAUGGCAUCAUGAUGUAGUUAAAGCUCCGGCGGUUAGGGAUGGGCAUGCGGUACAUUAGCUAGUUGGUGAGGUAAUGGCUCACCAAGGCUACGAUGUAUAGGGGGUCUGAGAGGAUGAUCCCCCACACUGGUACUGAGACACGGACCAGACUCCUACGGGAGGCAGCAGUAGGGAAUAUUGGUCAAUGGACGCAAGUCUGAACCAGCCAUGCCGCGUGAAGGACGAAGGCCCUAUGGGUCGUAAACUUCUUUUAUUAGGGAAGAAAAAACGGGAUGCGUCCUGUACUGACGGUACUUAAUGAAUAAGGAUCGGCUAACUUCGUGCCAGCCGCCGCCGUAA